UUGGUUGGAAAUUCCAUUGUGCUUAU
rnacentral:piRNA from 1 species